CAUAUUUGCUCUCUUAAAGGGUCAAAAUAUUCUUCUCUCUCGACUCUCUUCUCUUUUAUUCCGGAGGCGAUAACGAAACCAUCUAUCUCCAAGCUUUACUCUAUUCGCUUUGUUUAUGCCUUUUUCUCUUUUAUUUCAUUCUCCUUCUUGACCUAUAUGGUUUCUAAUUUCAGUUUUUGGUGCUUAUUUAGGGUUUUUGAUUUCAGUUGUUUGGUGUUUUUUUAGUUUUUUUUUUUAAUUUCAAUUUUUGGUGUCUAUUUAGGUUUCUAAUCGCGAUUCUUAAUUUGAAGUUUUUUUUUGCAGAGACGUUUCUUUUGGUUCGUCCUCUUUGAAAGCCAUCGCAGAAGAAGUGAGAAAUCCGCAUAUCCUAUCUGACGGAUCUUCUACAAGGGCUCUGCUAUAUCAGUCUUCUAUUCUAUCAAGCCAUUCAUUGACGACACCUUUCUUCCCAGGUACUUCCUCUUUCUUUAACUUUAGAAAACAAGAAAAAACAUCGGUUUAUUAUAUUAGUAGUAAUGCUUGAAAACAAGUAGUUCAUAUUAUAGCCUUUUGUAGUUUUCACCAGUCUCUAGUUAAUCUGUAUUCGUUAUAUUUCUUUCCUUUAUCUUAUUAGCUUCAAUUUUAUUUCUAGUAUUUCAAAUUCCCUUGUUUUCUAUGUCUUUAGCGUGGAUGUUUCUUUAAUUCUAUCUAUAUUACAAAUGAGGUAAUCUUAAUUACCUCUCUUAAGUGUCCCCUGAUGCCAUAAUGUGAACGAGCUUGUCCCAUGGUUUCCUAAUUGCUCGAGCUAUAAAAAAAUGACUCAUAACGAGGUAAUUUUAACUACCUCUCUGAAAUGUCCUUGAUGCCAAGAUACAUAUGAGGUUGUCCCGCCUAUCUAUAAAACUCUGUUUCCUAGUCUCAGAGCUAUAACAAAACAAGGUAAUCUUAAUUACCUUUCUGAAAUGUCCCUGGAGAUUUGAACACAGAGCUUGUCCCACGAUUUACUAGUCUCAGAGCUAUAAUGAAGCAAGGUAAUGAAAUGUCCCUGAUGAUAAAACACAGAGCUUGUCCCACGGUUUACUAGUCCCUGGUGAUAGAACACAGAGCUUGUCCCAUGGUUUACUAGUCUCAGAGCUAUAAUGAAGCAAGGUAAUGAAAUGUCCCUGAUGAUAAAACACAGAGCUUGUCCCACAGUUUACUAGUCUCAGAGCGAUAAAAUGAAACAAGGUAAUCUUAAUUACCUUUCUAAAAUGUCCCUGAUGAUAAAACACAGAGCUUGUCCCACGGUUUACUAGUCUCAGAGCGAUAAAAUGAAACAAGGUAAUCUUAAUUACCUUUCUGAAAUGUCCCUGAUGAUAGAACUCAGAGCUUGUCCCACUGUUUAAUAGUCUCAGAGCUAUAAUAUGAAACAAGGUAAUCUUAAUUACCUUUCUGAAUGUCCCUGAUGAUUGAACAAAGAGCUUGUACAAAUGCCUCGUACUGCAGGUAAUUUUAAUUACCUCUUUGAAGUGUCCCUGAUGCCAUAAUGUAAAUGAGCUUGUCCCACUGUUUCUAUAAACAAAUGCCUCGUGUCUUAGAAUCAAGGUAAUCCUAAUUACCUUGAAACGUCCCUGAUGCUGUAACACCAAAUGAGCUUGUUCCGACUCUUUGAAUAACAAAAAAUGGCUCGUCCGAGAAGUAAGGUAAUAUUAGUUACCUCUCUGAUGCGUCUCUAAUGCUAGAAAACGAGUAUGCCCCGCUUCUUUGAAUAACUCGGUGCCCUAGUCACUCGAGCUUUACAAAUGACUCGUAACAAGGUAAUCUUAAUUACCUCCCUGCUGUCAUGUCAGAACACUUGAGAUUGUCCCACAUGUUUAUAAGAACUCGUUUCCUAGUCUUGGAGCAAAAUGCUCUGUAACAAGGUAAUCUUAAUUACCUUUCUGAAAUGUCUCUGAUGAUAAAACCAAAGAGCUUGUCCCUGAAAGUCGGUUCUCCUAGUCACUCGUGCUCUACACAACGAGGUAAUCUUAAUUACUUCUAUGAAAUGUCCCUGAUGACAGAACACAAGUGAGCUUUUGUCCUGCGGUAGAAUCAAGUGAGUACUAACCAAAUGCCUCGUAACGAGGUAAUCUUAAUUACCUCUCUGAAACGUCCCUACUAGUACUAUGUCACUGAUGCUAGGUUGCGAAUGAGAAUGUCUCUUAAUUAAUUUGGGCUACUUGGGAUCCUAGUUACCUGAGUCAAACACACAAAUGCCUUCGGAGUUACUUGAGAUCCUAGUCCUCAAGUGAAAUGUAAAUAGAAGUCCCUGAUGCUAGAAUAAAAAUGAGGUGGUCCCACCUCAUUACUCAGGCAUUAAACACUAAUGCCUCAGAUAAAUGAAAGCCAAAAGGAUUGUAACGAGGUAAUUUUAAUUACCUCUCUGAAAGGACCCUCAGCUGGCAUAACACAAGUGAGCUUGUUCAGCAGUUUCCUAAUCAGCGUAGAGUCAAAGGUAAUCUUUAUUACCUCUUUUAAAUGUCCCUGAAUAAGUCGGUUUACUAGUCAACCGAGCUAUAAACAAAUGCCUCGGAAAGGAGGUAGUCUUGAUUACCUUCUCUAAGAUGUCCCUGAUGCCAGAACACAGAUGAAGCUGUCCCGCCUGUUACUAAUGCUUGUUUCCUAGUCUCAAAGCUAUAACCAAAAUCUCUGGAACAAGGUAAUCUUAAUUACCUUUCUGAAAUGUCCAUGAUGAUAGAACACAGAGCUUGUCCAGCGGGUUUCCUGGUCACAGUAGAAUCGAGAAUGCCUCUGAUUCUAGAAAUGAAAAUGAGGUUGUCCCACCUUAUUAAAUCACUAAGGUUUUGAUACCUGAUGCUUGAGUUAAACACAAAUGCCUCUGGAAUUGCUUGAGAUCCUAAUCACUCAAGAUAAAUGAAAGGCAAAAGAUUUAAGGAUGGAAAUGAUGAGGUUGUCUCACCUCUUUCGAUUACUCGGGGUUUCUGGUCAAUUAAGUUAAACACAAAUGCCUCGGCCCAGAUCUAACGACAAUGCUCAAACUAAAAGAAAAACCGAGUUUCUAGAAUGAAAAUGAGGUUGGGCUGCCUUCUUCAAAUUACUCGGUUCCUAGUCAGCAACACAAUCCUUCCCGGUUCCGAGUGUGUUAAGUGAUGAGGUAACUAUUUUUUCCUCCUUCUAUUUCAGGUUGACCUCUAUAGUACAAACAUAUAGAAGAUCAACACAAGAAUUUCAUGUUUUUUUUUUCAUUCGAACCUGCUGACAGAUGUCGUCUAACUCCACACUGUCGAGAACUAGUGAACAAUCAUAGAGAAGAUCAACACAAGAAUUUCAUGUUGUUUUUUAUUUCGUUUGAACAAGCUGACAGAUGUCGUCUAACUCCACCUUUUCUAUCUUUCUUUGCAUGUAGUUCUACUCUGGGUUUCAAAGAUCACGCCAAGAGUUUCAGGAAGGGAUGAUUAGGCUGUUUCAUUCAGUGGUUAAGUACCAUUGAAACUGUUGAGCAAGCCAAAUCAUCUUGUUGCCUGCGACUAAAGGCUUUUCUUUCCAUCUCAUCCACAUCUGAUUCAUGGCGGAGGUGAAACCGGAGGAAGAGGUCGAUUAGCAGUAGCAGUAGUGGCAGAGAGUCGUUCAAGACCAAGAAUCCAUUUAGCUGUGCUGAAAGACAGAAGACGACAGCAGAGACAUGACAGGAUUGACCGUCCAUGAGGUUGUCUUGGUCCAAAGCCAAAGUGCCGCUACUGCACAACUUCAACUCCCAAAGCCCUCGCGUUCUUCAAGUCAUCUCGAUGAUUAAUAAUAUAUGCACAGUCUCUUGCUAUUACCGAGCAGAUUUCCACCAUGAUCAUUUUUAAUUAGUGUAAUUUUGUAUUGAAUUUUAGUAAUGACCCUGGUGAAAUUUUGAAUUUGUAAAUGUAUUGCUAGUGUUUUAUA